rnacentral:rRNA from 1 species
ACGGGAGGCAGCAGUAAGGGAUAUUGGGCAAUGGGGGGAACCCUGACCCAGCCAUGCCGCGUGAGGGAAUGAGGCCCUACGGGUCGUGAACCUCUUUUGCCUGGGGAAAACCCCUCCCGCGUGACGGGGGGCUGCAGGUCCCAGGCGAAUAAGCAUCGGCUACCUCCGUGCCAGCAGCCGCGUUAAUACGGAGGAUGCGAGCGUUAUCCGGAUUCAUUGGGUUUAAAGGGUGCGCAGGCGGCGCGGUAAGUCAGCGGUGAAAUGCAGGGGCCCAACCCCGGCAGUGCCGUUGAUACUGGCGUGCUGGAAUGCGGUAGAGGCGGGCGGAAUGUGGCGUGUAGCGGUGAAAUGCAUAGAUAUGCCGCAGAACUCCGAUAGCGAGGGCAGCUCGCCAGGGCUGUAUUGACGCUCAGGCGCGAAAGCGUGGGGAUCGAACAGGAUUAGAUACCCUGGUA